UACGUAGGGUGCAAGCGUUAAUCGGAAUUACUGGGCGUAAAGCGUGCGCAGGCGGUCAUGUAAGACAGUUGUGAAAUCCCCGGGCUCAACCUGGGAACUGCAUCUGUGACUGCAUCGCUGGAGUGCGGCAGAGGGGGAUGGAAUUCCGCGUGUAGCAGUGAAAUGCGUAGAUAUGCGGAUGAACACCGAUGGCGAAGGCAAUCCCCUGGGCCUGCACUGACGCUCAUGCACGAAAGCGUGGGGAGCAAACAGG
rnacentral:rRNA from 1 species